UACAGAGGUGGCAAGCGUUGUUCGGAAUUACUGGGCGUAAAGGGCGCGUAGGCGGUUCGUUAAGUCCUGUGUGAAAUCCCCCGGCUCAACUGGGGAACUGCACAGGAAACUAGCGGGCUUGAGUUCGGGAGAGGGAAGCGGAAUUCCGGGUGUAGCGGUGAAAUGCGUAGAUAAUCCGGAGGAACACCGGUGGCGAAGGCGGCUUCCUGGAC
rnacentral:rRNA from 1 species